rnacentral:rRNA from 1 species
CCUACGGGUGGCAGCAGUGGGGGAUAUUGCACAAUGGGGGAAACCCUGAUGCAGCGACGCCGCGUGGGUGAAGAAGCGCCUCGGCGCGUAAAGCCCUUUCAGCAGGGAAGUAAAUGACGGUACCUGAAGAAGAAGCCCCGUCUAACUACGUUCCAGCAGCCGCGGUAAUACGCAGGGGGCAAGCGUUAUCCGGAUUUACUGGGUGUAAAGGGGGCGUAGACGGGGAUGCAAGCCAGGAGUGAAAGCCUGGGGCCCAACCCCGGGACUGCUCUUGAAACUGGGUGGCUAGAGUGCAGGAGGGGCAGGCGGAAUGCGUGGUGUAGCGGUGAAAUGCGUAGAUAUCAGGAGGAACACCGGUGGCGAAGGCGGCCUGCUGGGCUGCAACUGACGUUGAGGCACGAAAGCGUGGGGAGCAAACAGGAUUAGAUACCCGAGUAGUC